AGUUUGAUCCUGGCUCAGGACGAACGCUGGCUGCGUGCUUAACACAUGCAAGUCGAACGCUGAAGCCCUCAGCUUGCUGGGGGUGGAUGAGUGGCGAACGGGUGAGUAACACGUGAGUAACCUGCCCCUGAUUUCGGGAUAAGCCCGGGAAACUGGGUCUAAUACCGGAUAUGACCACUGGCCGCAUGGUUGGUGGUGGAAAGUUUUUUCGAUUGGGGAUGGGCUCGCGGCCUAUCAGUUUGUUGGUGGGGUAAUGGCCUACCAAGGCGACGACGGGUAGCCGGCCUGAGAGGGCGACCGGCCACACUGGGACUGAGACACGGCCCAGACUCCUACGGGAGGCAGCAGUGGGGAAUAUUGCACAAUGGGGGAAACCCUGAUGCAGCGACGCAGCGUGCGGGAUGACGGCCUUCGGGUUGUAAACCGCUUUCAGCAGGGAAGAAGCCGUGAGGUGACGGUACCUGCAGAAGAAGUACCGGCUAACUACGUGCCAGCAGCCGCGGUAAUACGUAGGGUACGAGCGUUGUCCGGAAUUAUUGGGCGUAAAGAGCUCGUAGGUGGUUGGUCACGUCUGCUGUGGAAACGCAACGCUUAACGUUGCGCGGGCAGUGGGUACGGGCUGACUAGAGUGCAGUAGGGGAGUCUGGAAUUCCUGGUGUAGCGGUGAAAUGCGCAGAUAUCAGGAGGAACACCGGUGGCGAAGGCGGGACUCUGGCUGUGACUGACACUGAGGAGCGAAGC
rnacentral:rRNA from 1 species